UCUGUUAUUUGAGUUCGUCUGUUAUGGCAACAUCAGAUACUAUAGAAAAUGGCGCUUGACAGUCCGCAACAUCCAGUGAUAGCGAUGAGCCCGGCUCCUCAUCAGGGCUGUAGCACUACUAUUAGAUCCUCGUUGUCUUACCAGAUUCUACUCUUCCUUAACCAAUGGUACUUUGGAUUAUUUUUUAUUCUUGAAAUAUUUAUCUUUAUAUUCAAAGGUGAAACACUACCCUAUGCUCCAGGAGUUUUGAGUCUUGAAGUGCUGCUGCUCUUCCUCUUGUUGAUCAUUGAGCAAUUCCGGAUUUUCUUUGGCAAAAAGGGUAACCUCACCGAACGCAUCAAUGGUGUAGCAAUGAGCAUCUUCUUGAGUCUACCUUCAUUGAGUGUAACACUUUAUCUCACUUUCUGGCAGUCCUAUGUCCUGCAGCUGGAAGUUAUUUUGACGGCAAUUGAAAUAACGUUUAUUGGUGCAGAAUUUAUUUUUGGACUUCUAUUCAUUAUUACAUUUGCAAGAGCUGCACCAUACUGAAUUCCAGCCAUAGAAACAGAACCUCUGUGAUGAGUAAAAUUACUUGUUUUACUCGAAUUUAUCAAUGUAGAACAUUCCGUCCAUGUACAAAUUCCUUCAUUUCUUUCUCUGAGAUUAUAUAUUUUGUACCUCAUGUCAAUCAAUCAACUAAUGCCAACUAAUUCAUGUUGAUCUUUGAAGAUUAUUUUGACUAAUUGGAAAUUUGUGAGAAAUUCUUUUGAAAUGGAUAAAUAAUUUCUUACAAAGUCACAAAGCCAGAAAUUUUGUGGAAACCGGUCAGUUGAUUACACUGAUCCCCAAUAAUUGACUGGUGCUUUAUUUUAUUGACCCCAGAAGGGUGAAAAGCAAAGUUGAUGUUGGUAGGAUUUGAACUCAGACUAUAAAAAGCCAGAGCAAAUACUGUAAGGCAUUCUACCUGAUGCUCAACUGAAUCUGCCAGAAAGACAAGCUAACAACUAGUAUGUAUAAAAUAAUUGAAUGGCACAUCUAUCCUCGUUUACCAUAGGUAUUCAGUUCUAAAAACACCAUGUUAAAUGAAUGAGCGAUAAAUAGACAAUAGGACAUAUGGGGCAAAAUAAAUUUUCUUCUGAGGCUUCAAGUUGUCCUGAGCAUUGUUGGUGGUGCACUUUUGUGGUCCAAGCAGAAUUCUUGACUGAUUGCCAACCCAUGUUAUCAAAGACCAAUUUCUGAUAAGCAUAACGGUACAUAAUUGAGCAUACUGAGUUGUCCUGGAUCAGUGAUAAUUGAAUUUGAGAUAAACAAGGAUUGAUGUAUUAAUCUCUUUUAAAAACUAUGUAUUUUUAUUAUUCUUCAUUCUUUUUGUAUUUCAUAACACUGUAAAUAAAAUAUUGAAUUUUUAA
rnacentral:misc_RNA from 1 species